rnacentral:tRNA from 1 species
GGGGGUAUGGUGGAAUCGGUCUACACAGCAGACUCAAAAUCUGUGCUUCGGCAUACCAGUUCGAAUCUGGUUACCCCUA